AUGUGUAAGAUCGAAUUUACAAGGCCUGCUUUUCCUCCGGUCUCUCUCGCGGUUGACGAGAACCCUUUGCCCACCCUCGCUCCUUCUGAGAGUCCUUGCUCCUUUCGACGAGUCCGCCCUCCUCCUCUGAGAGAAGCAGCGUGGCUCGGUGGAAAGAGCCCGGGCUUGGGAGUCGGAGGUCAUGGGUUCGAAAGCCGCCUCCGCCACUCGUCAGCUGUGGGACUGUGGGCGAGUCACUUCGCUUCUCUGGGCCUCGGUGACCUCAUCUGUAAAAUGGGGAUGAAGCCUGGGAGCCUCACGCGGGACAACCCGAUGACCCCCUUAUCUACCUCAGCGCUUAGAACAGAAACGAUUGGAUCUGCGUGCCGUAGAAAGCGAAGCGGGGAGGGGAGAGAGACCCAAGAAUUGACUCACCUUUUCGUUUUCUCUAGGAAUUUGUUUGCUAGAAAACAAAAUGCAAGACUUGACAGACAGAAUGACUUGGGAUGGAAGUUGUUCGGAAAAGUCCCCCUCCGAGAGAAUUCUCAGAAAGAUUCGAAGAAAAUACAAAAGGAAUAUGAAGAGAGAGCCGGCCGCCCUCACAAGCCCCCGUCCCCGAAGCAGAACGUGAGGAAGAACCUGGAUUUUGAACCCCUCUCCACCACCGCCCUCAUCCUCGAAGACAGACCGGCAAACCUCCCUGCCAAACCCGCCGAAGAAGCUCAGAAACACAGGCAGCAGUACGAAGAGAUGGUGGUUCGGGCCAAAAAACGAGAACUCAAAGAAGCCCAGAGGAGGAAAAAGCAACUGGAAGAAAGAUGUAAACUGGAAGAAAGCAUCGGCAACGCCGUCCUGACGUGGAACAACGAAAUCCUCCCCAACUGGGAGGCCAUGCGCGGCUCCCGGAAGGUGCGGGAGCUCUGGUGGCAGGGCAUCCCGCCCAGCGUCCGAGGCAGAGUCUGGAGCUUGGCCAUAGGAAACGAACUCAAUAUCACCCACGAACUCUACGAUAUCUGCCUAGCUCGAGCCAAAGAGAGAUGGCGAUCCCUCAGCUCCGGAACCACCGAAUUGGAAAACGAAGACGCGGGGUUUUCGGCAGCGGACCGGGAAGCCAGCCUGGAGCUCAUCAAACUGGACAUUUCCCGCACGUUUCCCAAUCUCUGUAUCUUCCAGCAAGGCGGUCCGUACCAUGACGUGUUGCACAGUAUUUUGGGGGCGUAUACUUGUUACAGACCAGAUGUCGGUUACGUUCAAGGCAUGUCAUUCAUAGCGGCCGUGCUCAUUUUGAAUUUGGAUUCUGCCGACGCCUUCAUCGCAUUUUCUAACCUUUUGAAUAAACCCUGUCAGAUGGCGUUUUUCCGGGUGGAUCACGGCCUCAUGUUGACUUACUUCGCAGCGUUUGAGGUGUUCUUUGAGGAAAAUCUGCCAAGGUUAUUUGCCCAUUUCAAGAAAAAUAACCUGACUCCGGAUAUCUACCUGAUUGAUUGGAUCUUCACCUUGUACAGCAAGUCUCUGCCGCUGGACCUGGCCUGCCGGGUCUGGGACGUGUUCUGCCGGGACGGGGAAGAGUUUCUGUUCCGGACGGCCCUGGGCAUCCUGAAACUCUUCGAAGACAUCUUGACGAAGAUGGACUUCAUCCACAUAGCCCAGUUCCUCACGAAGCUCCCGGAGGACUUGCCUGCCGAAGAAUUCUUUACGUCUAUUGCGGCGAUCCAGAUGCAGAGCAGAAACAAAAAAUGGGCUCAGGUGAACACGGGCCUCUUGUCUUCUUUGUCGGGUGGGGGUGGGGGCGGGGCGCUUAUUUCUUAG
rnacentral:lncRNA from 1 species